rnacentral:rRNA from 1 species
UACGUAGGGUGCGAGCGUUGCCCGGAUUUAUUGGGCGUAAAGGGCGCGUAGGCGGUGCCGUACGUCCGUUGUGAAAUCGCUCGGCUCAACUGGGCGGGGUCAGCGGAUACGGUGGCACUUGAGCAAGCUAGGGGGCAAUGGAAUUCCCGGUGUAGUGGUGGAAUGCGUAGAUAUCGGGAGGAACACCAGUGGCGAAGGCGGUUGCCUGGAGCUUUGCUGACGCUGAGGCGCGAAAGCGUGGGGAGCGAUCCGG